GUUGCUCUUUGGCGUUGGGGAAGACGCAUCUUCGGAGCCAUCAGGUUGAAGGUUGGUCGAGAAGAAGAUGGAAAAGAGGUUUUUGGUUUGAGAAGGAGAUGAGAAGGAGGUUUUUGGUUUGAGAUUUAAGAUGUGAGUGAAAAUGGUAUGAUGGUUGUAGAAACAGAGAGCUAAGAAUUUUGAGGAGAAGAAUAGAAAGU
rnacentral:lncRNA from 1 species